rnacentral:rRNA from 1 species
GACGAACGCUGGCGGCGUGCUUAACACAUGCAAGUCGAACGGUGAAGCGAGUGCUUGCACUCGUGGAUCAGUGGCGAACGGGUGAGUAACACGUGAGUAACCUGCCCAUCACUCUGGGAUAAGCACUGGAAACGGUGUCUAAUACUGGAUACGACCAACCCUUGCAUGGGGUGUUGGUGGAAAGAUUUAUCGGUGAUGGGUGGACUCGCGGCCUAUCAGCUUGUUGGCGGGGUAAUGGCCCACCAAGGCGACGACGGGUAGCCGGCCUGAGAGGGUGACCGGCCACACUGGGACUGAGACACGGCCCAGACUCCUACGGGAGGCAGCAGUGGGGAAUAUUGCACAAUGGGCGAAAGCCUGAUGCAGCGACGCCGCGUGAGGGAUGACGGCCUUCGGGUUGUAAACCUCUUUCAGCAGGGAAGAAGCGAAAGUGACGGUACCUGCAGAAGAAGCACCGGCUAACUACGUG